UACGUAGGGGGCAAGCGUUGUCCGGAUUUAUUGGGCGUAAAGAGCGUGUAGGCGGCCAUACAGGCUCAGCUGUGAAAACUCCGAGGCUCAACCUCGAGACGUCGGUUGAAACCGUAUGGCUAGAGUCCGGAAGAGGAGAGUGGAAUUCCCGGUGUAGCGGUGAAAUGCGCAGAUAUCGGGAAGAACACCCGUGGCGAAGGCGGCUCUCUGGGACGGUACUGACGCUGAGACGCGAAAGCGUGGGGAGCGAACAGG
rnacentral:rRNA from 1 species